CCUACUGGUGGCAGCAGUGAGGAAUAUUGGUCAAUGGGCGCUAGCCUGAACCAGCCAAGUAGCGUGAAGGAUGACUGCCCUAUGGGUUGUAAACUUCUUUUAUAUGGGAAUAAAGUGCAGUAUGUAUACUGCUUUGCAUGUACCUUAUGAAUAAGGCUCGGCUAACACCGUGCCAGCAGCCGCGGUAAUACGGAGGAUCCGAGCGUUAUCCGGAUUUAUUGGGUUUAAAGGGAGCGUAGGCGGGUUGUUAAGGCAGUCGUGAAAGUUUGCGGCCCAACCGUAAAAGUGCAGUUGAAACUGGCAUCCUUGAGUACAGGAGAGGUAGGCGGAAUUCGUGGUGUAGCGGUGAAAUGCGUAGAUAUCACGAAGAACUCCGAUUGCGAAGGCAGCCUGCUGGACUGUAACUGACGCUGAGGCUCGAAAGUGUGGGGAUCAAACAGGAUUAGAUACCCUUGUAGUC
rnacentral:rRNA from 1 species